GUGGGGAAUAUUGGACAAUGGGCGAAAGCCUGAUCCAGCCAUGCCGCGUGUGUGAAGAAGGUCUUCGGAUUGUAAAGCACUUUAAGUUGGGAGGAAGGGCAGUAAGUUAAUACCUUGCUGUUUUGACGUUACCGACAGAAUAAGCACCGGCUAACUUCGUGCCAGCAGCCGCGGUAAUACGAAGGGUGCAAGCGUUAAUCGGAAUUACUGGGCGUAAAGCGCGCGUAGGUGGUUUUGUAAGUUGGAGGUGAAAUCCCCGGGCUCAACCUGGGAACUGCCUCCAAAACUGCAUGACUAGAGGACGGUAGAGGGUAGUGGAAUUUCCUGUGUAGCGGUGAAAUGCGUAGAUAUAGGAAGGAACACCAGUGGCGAAGGCGACUACCUGGACUGAUACUGACACUGAGGUGCGAAAGCGUGGGGAGCAAACAGGAUUAGAAACCCCAGUAGUCC
rnacentral:rRNA from 1 species